rnacentral:rRNA from 1 species
GUCCCUUCGGGGGAACUGAGACAGGUGGUGCAUGGUUGUCGUCAGCUUGUGUCGUGAGANGUUGGGUUAAGUCCCGCAACGAGCGCAACCCUUAUUGAUAGUUACUAACGCGUNGAGGCGAGGANUNUAUUGAGACUGCCGGGGACAACUCGGAGGAAGGUGGGGANGACGGCAAAUCAUCAUGCCCCUUAUNACNUGGGCUACACACGUCNUACAAUGGCCGAUACAGAGAGAAGCGAAAGCGCGAGCCGNAGCGGAUCUCACAAAAGCGGUNGAAGUUCGGAUUNUGGGCUGCAACCCGCCCACAUGAAAUCGGAGUUGNUAGUAAUCGCGGANCAGCAUGCCGCGGUGAAUACGUUCCCNNGCCUUGUACACNCCGCCCGUCNNACCAUGGGAGUUGGUAGCACCCGAAGGCAGUGAGNUAACCGCAAGGAGCCAGCUGUCGAAGGUGGGAUCAAUGAAUGGGGUGAAGUCGUAACAAGGUAGCCGUAUCGGAAGGUGCGGCUGGAUCACCUCCUU